CUACUACUCCCUCCGUCCCAAAAAACAUGUAAAUCUCGAUUUCCGAGGAGUCAAAGAAUCUUUAAAUUUGACCAAGUUUAUAGAUGAUAUUAUCUACAUUUUAAUCUCUAAUUAGGUUUAUUAUGAAACUAUAUUUCAUAACUAAUCCAAUUAUACUUAUUACACAUCAUAAGCAUCAAUAUGUUUUUAUUUGUAUUUAGUCAAAGUUAAGAAUCUUUGACUCCUCGGGAAGCGAGGGUUACAUUCUUUUUGGGACGGAGGUAGUAUGUUUGUAG
rnacentral:pre_miRNA from 1 species